UUCUCGAGAAAGCUGCACUCGUCCCAUCACUUGUUCAUGCCAUUAUUACCCGACGGUUUAUCUUCCCAAAAACCACUUUUUCACCCAAAACGCUCCCUUGUUUCCAUAAAUUCAUUUCAUCCAAAACACUCUUCUCCGAUGCUUUGAGAUCCCUGGGAGCAAAUCGAAACCUUCCUCAAAGAAACUUCAGUCCGGUUCUCUGAUCCAAUCAUCUUCCAGUACUUUUACUGCAUAUCUUGGCAUCGAACCCUCCAGCUGAACCAGCAUUCUCAUGGAUGAUUACUUUGGAGACGAUUACCUUGCCCAUUCCAUCUCUAACAACCACUCCAGAUCCUAAUCUGAAAAGUUCACUAUUAAAGCCGACAUCAAAAUUAAUUUUGAUAUCCUCUCCAGAAGAGGGAACCCAUACUUCUCUAGUCACCUCUUUGUCCAUAAGGCCCAAAGGGAGACACAGAACACUCGUUGCUGGGAGUUUGAGCAGACACUAAAAGCCCAAGGCAAUUAAGGAAGACAUGUAUCAUAUUUUUAGCUUCUUUCCCAUAUCGUGGACACUCUACAUUAGUCACCAGUCUCUUACAAUGUAGAUUUAGCAUAGCAGGAAUAAUUUUUUUUGAGAUGCGCCAUACUAUAAUUUUAACUUUAGAAGGAAGUUUCAAACUCCAUAGCUUUCGAUAGAAAUCUCUAGAAAUGAGUUGUGAUGUAUUUAAUUAGGAGUAGAAAAACCCAACUGUAAUAGUUUAUAGGCACUGCACACCGAGAACUUCCCCGAUGGCUCACCUCUCCAAGCCAUUCAUCUUCAUGAGGAACUUUUGCCAGUGGGAUUCGAAGGUUCCUUCCCGCAUCAACCGCAUCAAAGGUAUCGACCAUAUGAGGAAGUCCCAAGUAGUUUUUGGGAUUAUUUGAAUGUCUCACUCCUAGCUCAUUAGAUAUUUGUGCUCGUAUGGUUUCAAGAGUGUUCCUAUUAAAGAAAACCGUUGACUUUUCAAAAUUCACGUAUUGUCCUGAACAAUCUUUGUAUUCUUUCAAGAUAUCUUUCAAGACGUUUGCACCUCUUGUUGUAGCUUCCCUGUAAAGAAUGCAGUCAUUUGCAAAAAGUAAAUGAGAGGCCACUGGUCCAUUUUGACUCGCCUUAACCCCCUUUAAUUUCCUCUGGCUAUUAGCAAGAUGCAUAAGAGUAGAUAAUCUCUCGCUGUAAAUCAAAAAUAGAAAAGGGCUUAGAGGGUCCCUUUGCCUUAGCCCUCUUAUAGGUCGAAAAGAAUUUCCUCUCAAACCAUUAAUGUUAACUGAAUGGGAAACUUUUGAUAUACAAUCAAGCACAGUAUCAACCCAAGCCUUUGCAAAACCUAUUUUAGUCAUCAUUGCUCGAAGAAAACCCUACUCCACUCUAUCGUAAGCUUUACUCAUGUUCAAUUUUAGGGCCAUCAGACCCUUACUUCCUCUACUUUUUUGUCCAAAAGUCUAAUAAAGUUAAAUUGAAUUUAGAUAUGAUAAAAGAUCUAAUUAGACAAUCAGUUAAAUAUGAAUGGUAUGACCUUAAAGUUAGUGGUUUUGGAGAAUGAGGAAUCGAGACCCUAUUUUUGUAAGGUGGAUUCGUAAAUAUUUUUGUAAAAUAUUUACGGAGUUAUAUUAGAAGUGAGUUGAAUUUUGGUCAAGUAACUUUUGUUGAAUUAGUGUUUUAUUAAGGUAUAGGGACUAAAUCAUAAAAACAUUAAAAGUUGAAUCUUUCAGCAAUCUACAAAUAGAAAUUAGAGGGAGAGCCUUGUAUAGCAAAUAUGCCACUUUAUAAGUUGUAGUUGUCGAUUUCUACUUAUAAAAUAAAAAUUCUAAUUAAAUUAAUAAAAGUAAAAAACAUGAAUUAAAUAUGAAAGUGGGAAGAAAGUGACAACCACCUUGUAUUCAUUUUUUUCAUUCGAAAGUGAAGAAGAAAAAUUGAGGGGCGAACCAUAAGUUUUGAAAGUUUCAAGCUUAAAUUGGUAUGUUCAAUUUAGUUUUUUUUUUUUGUAAUUUUUAUGUUUUAAGAAUUUUGGGAACUCAAGCUAGUUGACCCAUGUCGUAUUUUUACGAUACUGUUAAAGUUUGAGGAUUUUACUAUUGUUGAAUAGUUAAAUUUUUAGGGACCAAUUUGACAGGUUUUAAGUUGAGUAUUGAAAAAAAGACUAAAUUGUAAAGUUAAUUAUGAUUUUAUGAAAUUGGGAUGAAAUUGAUAUAAAAAUUGGUGAUUAAAUUUGAAA